rnacentral:ribozyme from 1 species
UGCCCAGCAACACCUAUCCCUACCUCCUCGUGGUACUGACCGGGGUACGAGUAACCUUGGAGAAGAUCGGGUACUGGGAACUUUGGUCGUAUGCUGACAGGGAAGG